CAAAAAGAUUUUUUUUGGAGUGGCUUAAAUGUGCCAAGAGUGUAUAUUCUACAAGGGAAGAAAGAUUUCACAUAGUAAGAUAAGGGAAUAGGAUAUGGGAGUGACGAGUGGUUAGGGAAGACUUCCCAGGAGAACCAACAUUUAAUGGAAACUGAGAAGAAAGUGAUGAUGAGAGAUGAUUUCAGGCAGAGAACAGUAUGAACACAGACAAAUAUUAUACCAGGAACUAAAAGAAUACCAGUGGAUGAAAUGUAGUGAAUAUGAAAGAGUGAGAAGAAAAAAAAAGGAACCACGAUAGGGUUUAAGGUCCCUGGCCACAGUGUGGAUGCUUUAGAUAAUAGCAGUGUGGAUAGAUCACAGUGUAGAUGCGUUACAUAUACCAGUGCAUGCAGUCCUCACAGGAAGGCUCCAGCAAGGGGUGGGGGGCCAGCCUGCACUCAGUUCUGAGAAAAGUAGACACAGUAGACUAUUUAGGAGGUAGAAUAAAUAUAACAUUUUAAUUAAAUUUUGCAGAAGCACAUAAAACGAGAUGCCUUGAAUACAACCUAAUGGAUGGUAGUGGUUGACUGAUUGGUUCUAGCUGUUGUAAUCAAGAACCUCAAACAGCAGGAUCUUCACGGUACAGAGACCUACAAGAUGUGACGUCUGGUCAUUAAAUUCAGAGGUGCCCUCUUUAUCUGGAAACUCCAGUUUUUACUAUUAAAAGCACAACUAGCAUUCACAUUCCUGAACAACACUUAACCGUUCUUGAACCAAAUCUUUGGCUACACCCUCCCGAAAGAAUGAAACAAGCCCCCUUCUUCCCCCAGAUCCAGGGGUGAGACCUUUUGGCUUCUGUUUCCGAUACAGAAAGGGAAAGGCACGAAACACACGUGGAAGUCAAGAAGUUUCCUUCACACACACCCUGAAAAAAAGCGGCCGUCACGAACAGGAUUCGAACCUGUGCGGGGAAACCCCAUUGGAUUUCGAGUCCAACGCCUUAACCACUCGGCCACCGUGACUUCCAAGACCGCCUGUCACCGAGCACUUACAGAAAGGGUCUGUACAACGACCCGGAGCGAGUGGUGGCAACGGGAAGCUGGGCCAAGCCCAAACACACAGCCUGUGACCUCCUCACAUUCCGCUCCUUACCUCUGCCUUCACGCCGCUCAAAGGAAGAGAGUCGGGUGGAUCGGGUGACCCAAAGAGGAAGGGUCUCCCGCCCUACGAAGAUGAGGGUCUCAAGGAGCGCAAAGCUGUUUAGGAGGCAUUGGCGAGGCCUGCAGAGGAAAGCAGUUGGAGAGGAGGGGCUGGGUCCCCGGGGUGGCGGCUAGGGGACUCCUCGGGUUGCGGAGUGAGACCUGGGACAAGGCGUUAGGGGCGAGGGAGGCUCAGGAG
ensembl:lncRNA